AUUCCAGCUCCAAUAGCGUAUAUUUAAGUUGUUGCAGUUAAAAAGCUCGUAGUUGGAUUUUGGUUAAGAGGGCGCGGUCGGCCGUUUGGUCUGUACUGCGUUGUCUUGACUUCCUGAUGAGGACAUGCUCUUGGUUAACGCUGAGACAUGGAGUCAUCGUGGUUACUUUGAAAAAAUUAGAGUGUUCAAAGCGGGCUUACGCUUGAAUAUAUUAGCAUGGAAUAACACUAUAGGACUCCUGUCCUAUCUCGUUGGUCUCGGGAUGGGAGUAAUGAUUAACAGGGACAGUCAGGGGGCACUCGUAUUCCGCCGAGAGAGGUGAAAUUCUCAGACCAGCGGAAGACGAACCACUGCGAAAGCAUUUGCCAGGGAUGUUUUCAUUA
rnacentral:rRNA from 1 species